GCGGUCCCAGAUUAUAACACGAUAGCUACUGGUCUUCCAUGUGUCCACCCAACUAACAGUCCGUGGGAUAUUUAUUUCUCGAAAUUUGCCGUUGAUGGUGCACAUAUACAAAUUGAUCUCUCUAUUGACCGAAUCCUACUUUCAUUUCCUGUCAUUCAAUCCCCAAAAUGGAUUACCGCAGGCACCCGCACCCUCCGCCACCCCAUCCUCCGCCUUCUGCUCCGCCGCUACCACCGCCUGACCCUUACUGGUACGGCCCGCCGCCGCCUCCACCCCCACGCCCCGACUUGUAUUAUCCUCCUCCUCCUCCCCCUCCGCACCACCACCAUCACCCACCGCCGCCGCCGCCGCCUCAUCAUCCUCCCGGUCCUCCUCCCCCACCUUAUUUUGACCCCUACAGGCCCCCGCCUCCACCAUGGCGCCGACCUCCACCGCCCUACUGAGCAGGUGUGCAGUCAGGAGUACUCGAGAGCUUUGAUCUUGCCGUGGGUGAGUUCUCCUUGCUGGUCAUGUGGCUCAAGGCUUGCUUUAUUUGACUAAUAAACAAGGAGAGAUUUGUAUUUCUAUUUUCCUUGGAAUAGCUUGAACAUAUGUACUCGUUUUACGUCUAAAUUUGCUUUGCGAUGCUAUGUAUAUGUAAGGGGUUAUUAUUAUUGUGAUAUGAAGAAGGUAUUACCGUAUGUGAUUCUCGCUAGAUUUGCCAUUAUUCAAAAAUGUUAUUGUUAUGUUCAAUUCGAUGACCAAAUUAGCAUUUUGUCACGAUUGUAUAUUCUACUAAGAGAAUGCACACCACAUGCUUCGACCUCCUCAAAAUCUGAUGUUACAUGAAGAACAAAAUUUUACGGCACUUUGUCUAAGUGUCUAGAUCCAUCUGAGCUAUUGAAUUGUGGAUGGGCCGAACUCGAGAACCGGGAUGGCAGCGUGAAAUCUUCCUAACAUUGUACAUUUAUAAGCUCAAUUGUGAUGUGAUUACCUUGCA
rnacentral:lncRNA from 1 species